UGAACUUGAUCUCAAAUCAGAUAAGAGUACCCGCUGAACUUAAGCAUAUUAAUAAGCGGAGGA
rnacentral:rRNA from 1 species